rnacentral:rRNA from 1 species
GACGAACCGUCCAAACGUUAUUCGGAUUCACUGGGCUUAAAGGGUGCGUAGGCGGCCCGGAAAGUUGGGUGUGAAAGCCCUCGGCUUAACCGAGGAAUUGCGCCCAAAACUACCGGGCUUGAGGGAGAUAGAGGUGGGCGGAACUUAGGGUGGAGCGGUGAAAUGCGUUGAUAUCCUAAGGAACACCUGUGGCGAAAGCGGCUCACUGGGUCUCUUCUGACGCUGAGGAACGAAAGCUAGGGGAGCGAACGGG